CCCCGACCCACUCCUGUUGUUCCGCAUCCACCCACACCACUGCAUCGCCUAAUGUUAGGGAUCGCCGGCGGCGGCGGCCUAGCGGCGGAUGAAGCGAGGGCGGCGGCUGUUGGUGCGGAAGCGGUGUCCGCCUGUGGCUGAUUAGGUUGUUCGCAGGCGAGGCCGAGGCGCGUGCGGGCAGGCGAUGGCUUGGACCAAGAUGCCGGUGCAGAGGAAGCCAAAGGGCUGGGCGCUACGGCCCAAGGUGUCCUGCAACUCCAGGCCAAAUUCAUCGUCAUCAAGGACGGGUGCGCCUAGCUCUUCCAGUGAGUAUAGGCUUCAGGGAAUUCUUGCUUCGAGGAUGCAGCUGCAGGAAGAAACCGAGGAGAACAAGCAGUAGUUGGUGAUGUGUGUGUGGGGUGGAGGGGAGAGAAGUGAAUCAGCUGAGCAAAGACAAAAAUGGUAGUAAUAGUACUAGAUGGAUAUAUGUGAAGCUUUCAUUUUUGUUAGAACUAGUGAAUGAUCUGGACUGGAGUAUGGUAUCAGUGGAAUAGAAGUUUCAAUGUAAAGCUUUUUUUUUGUCAUGAACUGAAUGCAAUGUAAAGGUGUUGGGACUGACCUUUGAUAUAUGAAAUGAAGUGAAGUUGAUGCUA